rnacentral:rRNA from 1 species
CCUACGGGAGGCAGCAGUGAGGAAUAUUGGUCAAUGGGCGAGAGCCUGAACCAGCCAAGUCGCGUGAGUGAGUACUGCCCUAUGGGUUGUAAACCUCUUUUGUCGGGGAGCAAAAGCCGGACGUGUCCGGCUGUGAGAGUACCCGAAGAAAACGCAUCGGCUAACUCCGUGCCAGCAGCCGCGGUAAUACGGAGGAUGCGAGCGUUAUCCGGAUUUAUUGGGGUUAAAGGGUGCGCAGGCGGAUUUUUAAGUCAGCGGUCAAAUCGUGGGGCUCAACCCCAUCCAGCCGUUGAAACUGGGGAUCUAGAGUGUGCGAGAGGUAUGCGGAAUGCGUGGUGUAGCGGUGAAAUGCAUAGAUAUCACGCAGAACCCCGAUUGCGAAGGCAGCAUACCGGUGCACAACUGACGCUCAGGCACGAAAGCGUGGGUAUCGAACAGGAUUAGAUACCCUAGUAGUC